rnacentral:rRNA from 1 species
UACGUAGGGGGCAAGCGUUGUCCGGAUUUAUUGGGCGUAAAGAGCGUGUAGGCGGCCUUACAGGUCAGCUGUGAAAACUCGAGGCUCAACCUCGAGACGUCGGUUGAAACCGUAUGGCUAGAGUCCGGAAGAGGAGAGUGGAAUUCCCGGUGUAGCGGUGAAAUGCGUAGAUAUUGGGAGGAACACCAGUGGCGAAGGCGGCUACCUGGACCGGUUCUGACGCUGAUGCGCGAAAGCGUGGGUAGCAAACAGG